GGAGCGGGGAGGCUUAGGAGGAACGGGGAGGCUUAGGAGGAACGGGGACGUUUAGGAGGGCAUGUUUAGGAGGAGCAGCAGGUUUAGGAGGAGUCGGCAGGUUUAGGAGGAGUCGGCAGGUUUAGGAGGAGUCGGCAGGUUUAGGAGGAGUCGGCAGGUUUAGGAGGGGAGGUUUAAGAGGAGCUGGCAGGUUUAGGAGGAGCCACAGCAGCAGGCAGGCUUAGGAGGAGCAGGCAGGUUUAGGAGGGGAUGUUUAGGAGGAGCUGCAGGUUUAGGAGGAGCAGCAGCAGCAGGCAGGCCUCUGCUCCUUAAUUAAGCCCUAACGAUGCCGCGCCCUCUCUC